rnacentral:rRNA from 1 species
GAGGGAGGAGGCAAGCGUUAGACGGAAUCAUUGGGCGUAAAGGGUACGUAGGCGGCUGGUCAAGUCUGGGGUCAAAGGCCACAGCUCAACUGUGGGAAGGCCCUGGAAACUGACCGGCUAGAGUGAGGUAGGGGUUGCGGGAAUUCCCGGUGUAGUGGUGAAAUGCGUAGAGAUCGGGACGAAUACCUGAGGCGUAAGCGCGCACCCGGGCCUCAACUGCCGCUGCGGUACGAAAGCUAGGGGAGCGAAUGGG